GUGAAAUUGAACUCGCUGUGAAGAUGCAGUGUACCCGCGGCAAGACGGAAAGACCCCGUGAACCUUUACUAUAGCUUGACACUGAACAUUGAGCCUUGAUGUGUAGGAUAGGUGGGAGGCUUUGAAGCGUGGACGCCAGUCUGCGUGGAGCCGACCUUGAAAUACCACCCUUUAAUGUUUGAUGUUCUAACGUGGACCCGUAAUCCGGGUUGCGGACAGUGUCUGGUGGGUAGUUUGACUGGGGCGGUCUCCUCCUAAAGAGUAACGGAGGAGCACGAAGGUUGGCUAAUCCUGGUCGGACAUCAGGAGGUUAGUGCAAUGGCAUAAGCCAGCUUGACUGCGAGCGUGACGGCGCGAGCAGGUGCGAAAGCAGGUCAUAGUGAUCCGGUGGUUCUGAAUGGAAGGGCCAUCGCUCAACGGAUAAAAGGUACUCCGGGGAUAACAGGCUGAUACCGCCCAAGAGUUCAUAUCGACGGCGGUGUUUGGCACCUCGAUGUCGGCUCAUCACAUCCUGGGGCUGAAGUAGGUCCCAAGGGUAUGGCUGUUCGCCAUUUAAAGUGGUACGCGAGCUGGGUUUAGAACGUCGUGAGACAGUUCGGUCCCUAUCUGCCGUGGGCGCUGGAGAACUGAGGGGGGCUGCUCCUAGUACGAGAGGACCGGAGUGGACGCAUCACUGGUGUUCGGGUUGUCAUGCCAAUGGCACUGCCCGGUAGCUAAAUGCGGAAGAGAUAAGUGCUGAAAGCAUCUAAGCACGAAACUUGCCCCGAGAUGAGUUCUCCCUGAGACUUAGAGUCUCCUGAAGGAACGUUGAAGACGACGACGUUGAUAGGCCGGGUGUGUAAGCGCAGCGAUGCGUUGAGCUAACCGGUACUAAUGAACCGUGAGGCUUAACCUUACAACGCCGAAG
rnacentral:rRNA from 1 species